AUUGAACGCUGGCGGCAUGCCUUACACAUGCAAGUCGAACGGCAGCACGGGAGCAAUCCUGGUGGCGAGUGGCGAACGGGUGAGUAAUAUAUCGGAACGUGCCCAGUCGUGGGGAUAACGUAGCGAAAGCUACGCUAAUACCGCAUACGAUCUACGGAUGAAAGCGGGGGGAUCGCAAGACCUCGCGCGAUUGGAGCGGCCGAUAUCAGAUUAGGUAGUUGGUGAGGUAAAGGCUCACCAAGCCGACGAUCUGUAGCUGGUCUGAGAGGACGACCAGCCACACUGGGACUGAGACACGGCCCAGACUCCUACGGGAGGCAGCAGUGGGGAAUUUUGGACAAUGGGCGCAAGCCUGAUCCAGCAAUGCCGCGUGCAGGAUGAAGGCC
rnacentral:rRNA from 1 species